GGAAAGUUUUUCGGUGUGGGAUGGGCCCGCGGCCUAUCAGCUUGUUGGUGGGGUAAUGGCCUACCAAGGCGGCGACGGGUAGCCGGCCUGAGAGGGUGGACGGCCACAUUGGGACUGAGACACGGCCCAGACUCCUACGGGAGGCAGCAGUGGGGAAUAUUGCACAAAGGGGGGAAGCCUGAUGCAGCGACGCCGCGUGGGGGAUGUCAGGGGUCGGGUUGUGAACUCCUUUCACCAUCGACGAAGGUUUCUGAC
rnacentral:rRNA from 1 species